GCUACGUGCCAGCAGCCGCGGUAAUACGUAGGGCGCGAGCGUUGUCCGGAAUUAUUGGGCGUAAAGAGCUUGUAGGCGGUUUGUCGCGUCUGCUGUGAAAGGCCGGGGCUUAACUCCGUGUAUUGCAGUGGGUACGGGCAGACUAGAGUGCAGUAGGGGAGACUGGAACUCCUGGUGUAGCGGUGGAAUGCGCAGAUAUCAGGAAGAACACCGAUGGCGAAGGCAGGUCUCUGGGCUGUAACUGACGCUGAGAAGCGAAAGCAUGGGGAGCGAACAGGAUUAGAUACCCUGGUAGUCCAUGCCGUAAACGUUGGGCACUAGGUGUGGGGGACAUUCCACGUUUUCCGCGCCGUAGCUAACGCAUUAAGUGCCCCGCCUGGGGAGUACGGCCGCAAGGCUAAAACUCAAAGAAAUUGACGGGGGCCCGCACAAGCGGCGGAGCAUGCGGAUUAAUUCGAUGCAACGCGAAGAACCUUACCAAGGCUUGACAU
rnacentral:rRNA from 1 species